GACGAACUGUCCUAACGUUGUUCGGAAUCACUGGGCUUAAAGGGCGCGUAGGCGGUCCGACAAGUCAGGGGUGAAAUCCUGCAGCUUAACUCCAGAACUGCCUUCGAUACUGGCGAUCUUGAGUCUGGGAGAGGUGAGUGGAACUCCGAGUGUAGAGGUGAAAUUCGUAGAUAUUCGGAAGAACACCAGUGGCGAAGGCGGCUCACUGGCCCGGUACUGACGCUGAGGUGCGAAAGCGUGGGGAGCAAACAGG
rnacentral:rRNA from 1 species